ACAGUGUAUGCUAAAGUUGUUGCGGUUGAAAAGCUCGUAGUUGGAUUUUGGGCGGGCGCAGCCGGUCCGUCGCAGGGCGUGUUACUGGUUGCGCUCGCCUCGCCUUCGGUUCUCCGUCGGUGCUCUUGACUGAGUGUCGGCGGUGGCCGAGAAGUUUACUUUGAAAAAAUUAGAGUGUUCAAAGCAGGCUGUUCGCCUGUAUAGUGUUGCAUGGAAUAAUGGAAUAGGACCUCGGUUCUAUUUUGUUGGUUUUCGGAGCGCGAGGUAAUGAUUAAGAGGGACAGACGGGGGCGUCCGUACUCUGCCGUUAGAGGUGAAAUUCUUGGAUCGGCGGAAGACGAACUACUGCGAAAGCAUUCGCCAAGAAUGUUUUCUUUAAUCAAGAGCGAAAGUCAGAGGUUCGAAGACGAUCAGAUACCGUCCUAGUUCUGACUAUAAACGAUGCCAACUAGCGAUCGGGAGGCGUUACCAUGACGACCUUCCCGGCAGCUUCCGGGAAACCAAAGUCUUUGGGGGAAGUAUGGUUGCAAAGCUGAAACUUAAAGGAAUUGACGGAAGGGCACCACCAGGAGUGGAGCCUGCGGCUUAAUUUGACUCAACACAGGGAAACUCACCCGGCCCGGACACAGGUAGGAUUGACAGAUUGAGAGCUCUUUCUUGAUUCUGUGGGUGGUGGUGCAUGGCCGUUCUUAGUUGGUGGAGCGAUUUGUCUGGUUAAUUCCGAUAACGAACGAGACUCUGGCAUGCUAA
rnacentral:rRNA from 1 species